CCGAGGCGCCUGCGGCGGCCGCGGAGACACCGGAAGGAGCCGCGGCUGCUGCGGGAAGUGGCCGGUGCGGGAGGCGGGGACCCCGUGGGCUGAGCUGCGGAACGUUUUCCGGCGCUGUAUAUGCGACACCGCCCCUCUCCCAGGCAGGGGAGUAAAAGAAGAGUUGGUGGAGGAGCGGCCGCAGGCCAUCGUUGGCCGCGCUGGCGGGUCCCUUGGGGAAGGCCGUGGAGGUAUUACCUCAUUUGGAAAGCCUUGAGAAACAGGAAAACAUUUCUAACAAAAUGUCAGCUUUUCGAAGUCAUUGUCCACAUUUGGAUUCAGUUGGUGAAAUAACAAAAGAAGAUUUAAUACAAAAAUCUCAUGGUUGUUGUCAGGAUUGUAAAGUCAGAGGACCAAACCUCUGGGCAUGUCUGGAGAAUAGAUGUUCAUAUGUUGGCUGUGGUGAAUCACAAGUAGAUCACAGCACCAUUCAUUCUCAGGAGACAAAACAUUAUCUAACUGUGAACCUUACUACUCUUCGAGUAUGGUGUUAUGCUUGUAGCAAAGAAGUAUUUUUGGAUAGGAAAUUAGGAACUCAGCCUUCAUUGCCUCAUGUAAAACCGCUUCACCAAACACAGGAAAAUAGUGUCCAGGACUUUAAAAUACCCAGUAACACAACAUUAAAAACUCCUCUGGUUGCUGUAUUUGAUGAUUUGGACAUAGAGGUAGAAGAAGAAGAUGAACUUAAGGCAAGAGGUCUUACAGGUUUGAAAAAUAUUGGAAAUACUUGUUAUAUGAAUGCAGCUUUGCAGGCUCUUUCUAAUUGCCCACCUUUGACACAAUUUUUUCUGGAUUGUGGAGGACUAGCCCGAACAGAUAAGAAACCAGCUAUUUGUAAAAGUUAUCUCAAACUGAUGACAGAACUGUGGCAUAAAGCAGGCCAGGAUCUGUUGUGCCUACUAAUCUGUUUCAGGGAAUUAAAACUGUAAAUCCAACAUUUCGGGGUUAUUCUCAGCAAGAUGCUCAAGAAUUCCUUCGAUGUUUAAUGGAUCUGCUUCAUGAAGAAUUGAAAGAACAGGUCAUGGAGGUAGAAGAGAAUCUUCAAACUGUAACAACUGAGGAGACCAUGGAAGAAGACAAAAGCCAAUCAGACGUAGAUUUUCAGUCCUGUGAAUCUUGUAACAGCAGUGAUAAAGCCGAAAAUGAAAAUGGCUGUAGAAGCUUUUCUGAAGAUAAUAAUGAAACGACAAUGUUGAUUCAGGAUGAUGAGAACAAUUCAGAAAUAUUGAAAGAUUGGCAAAAAGAGAAGAUGUGCAAUAAGAUUAAUAAAGUAAAUUCUGAAGGAGAAUUAGAUAAAGAUAGAGACUCUGUGUCUGAAACAGUUGACUUGAACAGCCAGGAAACUGUCAAAGUGCAAAUACACGGCAGAGCUUCAGAAUAUAUUACUGAUGUCCAUUUGAAUGACCUGUCUACACCACAGAUCCUCCCAUCAAAUGAAGGUGUUAAUCCACGUUUAUCAGCAAGCCCUCCUAAAUCAGGCAAUUUGUGGCCAGGAUUGGCACCCACACACAAAAAAGCUCAAUCUGCAUCAUCUCCAAAGAGAAAAAAACAGCACAAGAAAUACCGAAGUGUUAUUUCAGACAUAUUUGAUGGAACAAUCAUUAGUUCAGUGCAGUGUCUGACUUGUGAUAGGGUGAGUAUGAGGGAAAUUUCCAUCAAAUGCUUUUUAAAAAAAUUUGACAAAAUGGUGUGAAAAGUGAAUUCCUUCUCCUUGCUAUUGAUGAUUAUACAUGUAUUUUUUAGGUUUACAUAAGUAUAAAUUGAUUCUAGGUGUAGAACUUGUUUUUUGGAAGUAAUAGCAACACACUUUUUAGGGAUAGAUCUUGAUUUGUCAUUUGACAGCUGUGCAUUAGCAGGAAGAGUUAACUCAGUGCUUCAUCUCUGUUCACAUAUAAAGGAGAUAAUGUUGCUCAGUAACAAGAAUUGGUAACACAAGCUUAUUCUCCCAAGGCUGGUGUAAUUAGUAUGCUGGGAAACUGUUAUUGUUCACAGGCACAAGGCUGUGCAUAUGUCUUUUGGAUUUGGUGGUAUGGCUUGUAAAUAUUUUCCCACGUUAAGAUUAGGGCUCAGAUCACAAAAAUAGUAUCAGAUUCAUACACAAGAGUGUGUAUUAAAGCCAUCAUGAGAUCUCCUAAUACCUCAUGAUUACUGCAUUUCUUUGAGGUUUUCAUAAGAAUGGUUUUACUUCGGUACAGUGAUAAAUACAAUUCAAAUGAAUGUAGAAUGACGUAUCUCAAAAAACCCCAAAGUAAGUUUUCAAUUAGUGUGUUAGAAUCUUAAGUCAAAUCUAAGGGCUUUCAGUAGGGUCAUUUUACUAUAGACUAUUUUGCUAUUUAAAUAUUUAGAUGGGAUUGUCCUGAAAUGUUUUCAGCCACACCUGCAGCAUGUGGAAGUUCCCAGGCCAGGGAUUGAAUCCGAGCACAGCAGCAACCCAAGCCACUGCAAUGACAACACUGGAUCCUGAACCUGCUGUGCCACAAGAGAACUCCUACAUUUUGUUUUUAAGACUACAUUUAAAAACUAUCAUCAGGAGUUCUCGUCGUGGCACAGUGGUUAACGAAUCCGACUAGGAACCAUGAGGUUGUAGGUUCGAUUCCUACCCUUGCUCAGUAGGUGAAGGAUCCGACGUUGCUGUGAGCUGUGGUGUAGGUCGCAGACGUGGCUCGGAUCCCGCGUUGCUAUGGCUCUGGCGUAGGCUGGCAGCUCCAGCUCCAGUUGGAUCCCUAGCCUGGGAACCUCCAUAUGCCGAGGGAGCGGCCCAAGAAAUGGCAAAAAGACCAAAAAAACCAAAAAACAAUAAAACAAAACAGCUAUCAUCAAGCUUCAGUGGCUGAAUGUGAGGUACUUCUCUUUGGUUCAUUGUCCUCAGCUAAUGGGGACAAUAGUAGUUCCCUCAUAUGGUUUAUGUGAAGAUUAAAUUUAGAACAGCACCUGGUACAGAGCAAUUUUGCUUUUGUUAUUAUUAUCUUUGCUAUUGUUAAUUACUAUAAAAGCAGUUUGAUUUUUUUGUUUUUUCUUAUAGUUUGCUUUGAUCUUUGCAAUCUAGAAUCUAUCCUCAAAUGUUUGUGCUGGAUUAUUUUCAUCCUGUUCUUAAAACAAAACAAUUUUAGGUGUCUGUAACCCUCGAGACCUUUCAAGAUCUAUCCUUGCCUAUCCCUGGCAAGGAAGACCUUGCUAAGCUGCAUUCAUCAAGUCAUCCAACGUCUAUAGUCAAAGCAGGAUCAUGUGGUGAAGCAUAUGCUCCACAAGGGUGGAUAGCUUUUUUCAUGGAAUAUGUGAAGAGGUAUGUAUGUAUUUUGUUUGUAUUAAUUGAUUGUUAAAACCGCUGUUUCUGCUGUACUGGCAGAACAUUUCCUUCUUUUUUUUUUUUCUGUCAAUAAUGUUUCAGGUUUGUUGUCUCAUGUGUCCCUAGCUGGUUUUGGGGUCCAGUAGUAACCUUGCAAGAUUGUCUUGCUGCCUUCUUCGCCAGAGAUGAACUAAAAGGUGACAAUAUGUACAGUUGUGAAAAAUGCAAAAAGUUGAGGAAUGGAGUAAAGUUUUGUAAAGUACAGAAGUUUCCUGAGAUUUUGUGCAUCCAUCUUAAAAGAUUCAGACAUGAAUUGAUGUUUUCCACCAAAAUCAGUACCCAUGUUUCAUUUCCAUUGGAAGGCCUGGAUCUUCAGCCAUUUCUUGCUAAAGAUAGUCCAACUCAAAUUGUUACCUAUGAUCUCCUGUCAGUCAUUUGUCACCAUGGAACUGCAAGUAGUGGACACUAUAUUGCCUACUGCCGAAACAAUUUAAAUAAUCUCUGGUAUGAAUUCGAUGAUCAGAGUGUCACUGAAGUUUCAGAAUCUACUGUACAAAAUGCAGAAGCUUAUGUUCUUUUCUACAGGAAGAGCAGUGAAGAAGCACAAAAAGAGAGGCGGAGGAUAUCCAAUUUGUUGAACAUAAUGGAACCAAGUCUCCUUCAGUUUUACAUUUCUCGUCAGUGGCUAAAUAAAUUUAAGACUUUUGCUGAACCUGGCCCUAUUUCAAAUAAUGAUUUUCUUUGUAUUCAUGGAGGUGUUCCUCCACGAAAAGCUAGUUAUAUUGAAGACCUGGUUUUGAUGCUGCCUCAGAACAUUUGGGAUAACCUAUAUAGCAGGUUUGGUGUUUUUUUGUUGUUUUUGUUUUGAUUUUUUGUCUUUUUAGGGCCACACCCAUGGUACAUGGAAGUUCCUGGGCUAGGGGGUCAUACAGCUUCCGGCCUAUGUCACAGCCACAGCCACAGCCACGCAGGAUCUGAGCUGCAUCUUCGACCUACACCACAGCUCAUGGCAACACCGGAUCCUGAACUCACUGAGUGAGGCUAGGGAUUGUACUUGAAUCUUCAUGGAUACUACUUGGGUUCAUCUCUGCCGAGCCACAACUGCACCGGGAAUUCCCGAAAGCCAGUUCUUUUACUUUAUGUUGUUAUUGCCUCAAACAUAUUUUGCAACAAAUGUAGCUAUAAGGGAAACCUGACAUAUAGAUAAAGCAAGCAAGUCAAUAAACAGAUAAUGUCAUUGACUCCGAUAAACAUAAAAUCAAGUCCUUGUGAUAAUUUGUUUUUCACAUUUUACUAAGACUUAGAGACAUUUCCUAGGACAUCACCUUCUUCACAAUGCUCAUAAUUAUGAAAUUCUUCAUGCUUUAGGUAUGGAGGAGGACCAGCUGUCAACCAUCUGUACAUUUGUCACACUUGCCAAAUUGAGGCAGAGAAAAUUGAAAAACGAAGAAAAACUGAAUUGGAAAUUUUUAUUCGGCUCAACAGAGCAUUCCAAGAGGAGGACUCGCCAGCUACUUUUUAUUGCAUCAGUAUGCAGUGGUUUAGAGAAUGGGAAAGUUUUGUGAAGGGUAAAGAUGGAGAUCCUCCAGGUCCUAUUGAUAACACUAAAAUUGCAAUCACCAAAUGUGGCAAUGUCACACUUAGGCAAGGGGCAGAUUCUGGUCAGAUUUCUGAAGAAACGUGGAAUUUUCUACAGUCUAUAUAUGGUGGAGGGCCUGAAGUCAUCCUGCGGCCUCCUGUUGUUCAUGUUGAUCCUGAUGUCCUACAAGCAGAAGAAAAAAUUGAAGUAGAAACUCGGUCUUUGUAAUUUUGAGGGUAUAGAGGUCUGAUGAGAAAUCAUUCUCACAUCUUCUGACAUAUAGUCAUGCAAAAACAUUCCUAAAAGCAUGUUUAUUUUCUUGAUUUUUAAUAUUUUAUCUUUUAUUCCUUCUUACUGGGCAUUUUGAAAGAAUGUGUUCAAAUGUAUAGUAUUCUACAGGUUGGUAUAUUUAAUGGUAGAUAACUUUCCGUAAAGUCUUUUGGUGUAAUAUUUUUGAAAGAGAAGGGGUAAUUGUGAUCAUUUGGUAAUGAGUUGGUUAUCUUUGAUAUUUAUACUACAUAUAAACCCAUGAAUCCUUUGUAGCUUUGUAAAUACUUUUGCUUUGAAAACUUUUUCAUUAUCCUAAAUGAUCAUAACUCUGACCAAUCUUUUCAGUUCUUCAAAAACUUGAUUUAAUUGUAUAGUUUUGACAUGGCUUCUUAUAAUAUAAAGAGCCUAUUUUAAAUUGAGAGUUGUAGUCAGAAAAAUGUUAAUUUCCUAAAGCUCAGGAAACUGUUAGGGUGUCAACUUCUUUUGCACUGCAGCAUAUAAACUAGCAUAUUAAUAUUUACAAGAUGUCUUUUUGAAUGUAUCAAGGAUGUAUUUAGUUUGAGUGGAAUUUGUGUCAGCAGAUAUUAGUAAUUUAUUGCCUCCUAUACUGUAAAAUAUUAAAUUUCAAUUCCUAUAACCCUGAUUAGUAAUCUUAAUAUCAGUAAAAAACUUAGAGUUAGUUUUAGGACACUUUGUUUUGAGAGCAUGAAGUAUAGACUGUCAAUGAGAUUGUUGAUAAAGCUGAAGUCUAAGCCUCUUGCAAAUGAUUUUUUAAAUGAAACCUGCAUAAAGUCUUUUUGAAUAAUAUAGUAUGCACUGCUAUUUGCUUGAUUAUGUGAUGUCAAAAGUUUAACUAUAUUCCAAGUACAAAACUAAACUGGAUUACUUUGAGAAUGUUGAAUAGCAUUCACAGUGGCUUUGUUUUGGUUUGGGGCAGCUGCCACCAGCUAAAACAGCAUUAUUAAAAUUAGUUCAAUAAAAAUGAUUUAAAAAUGUGUAA